UCUCUCCCCAGAACAAGUGUGGCCUGGUCAACGUUCACGUUUGGAAGCUGUCUCAGCAUUUCCACGUAACGUGGCGGCCGGGCCAGUGGGCCUCCGGGCACAUGGGGAAGCUGUAAAGACGGCGGAUUACAGACCAUGCAAGACAGUACAUUUUACAUCUCCAUCCUCUCCCCCACCCUUUUUUGAUUGAGCAUCUGUGAGACCUGCUAAUUCUUCUGGAGAUUUCUGAAUAUCCUGUCUUCGCCCAGGUUGGGCAGUGCUAGAUGCCGGUUCUGACUGUGCAGCUAUUAACUUCAUGCUGAGGAUCUUGUUUUAACGUAUUCAAAUGAGGAUUCUGGGACCGGAGGUUCAGGGACCACGCUGGCCCAUUCUGGAAGCUUCUGGAAGCCCUUUGAAGGCCUGGCAGGCCGGCCUCCUUCAGUGGCACUCUGUCCAUGUGCUGUGGGUUGUCAGUGGGGAAAGAACAGAGUCAUUUUAAAGGAGCAUGGAUCCUAGGCUCUAGCAUACUUUUUUCCCAUCUGGCAGACAAAGUUUAUGACUACUAUGCAGACAGGUGGGUGCAGGAUACCACAUUCCUAGAUUCCCAGAGAGGAGGACACUUUUUUCCAAGAACAUUAUCGGGUGGAAAUGUGAAAAAUUCACACAACUGCCAAAACAAUGGAUCUUCAUGAGCCCAAAUAUUCUGAAUAUUUGAAACCAUCGGAAUGAUUUAUUAAACUUUUCACUUCCCACGGACGCGCUCACUGGGUGUUAUGCAGAUGUAGAUCUCACAGCCAGGAUGGUGUCUGUUGAGAGGAGGAUUCAGUCUCCACCAAACUCAGCCCCACUUGUGUUUCAGCAGCAAACCACUCUGACUGUGGCAAUUUUCAUAGCAGGAAAAAUUUUAGAUGGUUGUGUGGUUUCUAGCUUUGCUCUUUUCCAUUUUACACGUGAAAUGUUUGGGAUCAGAUUGGUUUUCUUUCAAACUAUGGUCCAAAUUAAUUUAUACUGAUGAUUAAAAAGAGAGAGAGAAAUUGCUACCUUUAAGAGAUUUUGACCUCAAGUCCUCUGAUAUUUGAGACACAUUUUUUUUUAUUCCCUGGGUUGCAACCCUUCAGUAGCAUGUAGGCGAGUUUCAAGGAAAGGAAAGAGUAAUGAAAAAUCUAAUAUAAAGGCUAUAAUUUUCUAAAGGAGCCUGUUUUUUAUUAAGAUCAAGUGUA